CGUGUUCCGGUGUUCCAUUGUUCCUGGUUUUACUAAUAGCCAGUUUUUAUAGGCUAUUAGUAAAACCAGGAACACCGAACACCGGAAUAGC